rnacentral:rRNA from 1 species
UACGUAGGGUGCAAGCGUUAAUCGGAAUUACUGGGCGUAAAGGGCGCGUAGGCGGCCUUCUAAGUCGAACGUGAAAUCCCUGGGCUCAACCCAGGAACUGCGUCCGAUACUGGAAGGCUUGAAUCCGGGAGAGGGAUGCGGAAUUCCAGGUGUAGCGGUGAAAUGCGUAGAUAUCUGGAGGAACACCGGUGGCGAAGGCGGCAUCCUGGACCGGUAUUGACGCUGAGGCGCGAAAGCCAGGGGAGCAAACGGG